rnacentral:rRNA from 1 species
UUGGAGGGCAAGUCUGGUGCCAGCAGCCGCGGUAAUUCCAGCUCCAAUAGCGUAUAUUAAAGUUGUUGCAGUUAAAAAGCUCGUAGUUGAAUUUCGGGAUCGAAUUGUUGGUCGUGCUUCGGUACGCACUGGCAUUAUCGGUUCCUACCUUCUGAAGAACCGCGAUGUCAUUAAUUUGGUGUCGUGGGGAAUCAGGACUGUUACUUUGAAAAAAUUAGAGUGUUUAAAGCAGGCUUACGCUUGAAUACAUUAGCAUGGAAUAAUGAAAUAGGACGUUUGAUUCUAUUUUGUUGGUUUCUAGGAUCGACGUAAUGAUUAAUAGGGAUAGUUGGGGGCAUUAGUAUUCAAUUGUCAGAGGUGAAAUUCUUGGAUUUAUUGAAGACUAACUACUGCGAAAGCAUUUGCCAAGGAUGUUUUCAUUAAUCAAGAACGAAAGUUAGGGGAUCGAAGACGAUCAGAUACCGUCGUAGUCUUAACCAUAAACUAUGCCGACUAGGGAUCGGAUGAUGUUAAUUUUAUAAUGACUCAUUCGGCGCCUUACGGGAAAC